GGGCCCGUCGUCUAGACUGGAUAGGACGCCGCCCUUACACGGCGGAGGUCGCCGGUUCAAGUCCGGCCGGGCCCACCA
rnacentral:tRNA from 1 species